UAGAAAGAGGCUCUUCGAUAGCCUAUCGUAAGGAGUUCCAAACAUAAAAACCGCAAGCCUACCAUUCUGAAAACUACAAGGGUAAAAAGCCCAUGUCGAGGUCUCAAUGGCGGAAAGGGAAGCCACGAAGAGGGAAAAUGCAGAAUCUAGCAAUAACAUGCCUUUUAAGCAGGAUAGAGACAAAGGGAAGAAACCAGUAGGAAUGAAGCUUUUUCCUCUCGAAAAGGGGAGUCUGAGGUUAAGUCUGAAUGGCAAAAGGCAGAACAUGAC
rnacentral:lncRNA from 1 species